rnacentral:rRNA from 1 species
CAGAGGGUGCAAACGUUGUUCGGAAUUACUGGGCGUAAAGCGAGUGUAGGCGGUCUGAAAAGUCGGGUGUGAAAGCCCCGGGCUCAACCCGGGAAGUGCACUCGAAACUGCCAGGCUAGAGUAUCGGAGAGGUUGGUGGAAUUCUCGGUGUAGAGGUGAAAUUCGUAGAUAUCGAGAGGAACACCGGUGGCGAAGGCGGCCAACUGGACGAAUACUGACGCUGAGACUCGAAAGCGUGGGGAGCAAACAGGA